UUAGAGAUUGCAACGGAUAAAAUUUUCAAUCAUCUUAUUUUACUAUGGAUUUCAUCACUUCAUCUACUGUAAACAUAGACGUCUUGUUGGCAAAGUCAUAACAAUCUGGUUUGUCGUCUAUACAAACUUGUGCGUCAAAAGUGAUAUUUUCUAUUCCCUUGAAGAGCCAAGCAUUUAUAAAGUACGGAUUCUUACCAUUUGUAUAAGCGAAAUAUAAUGUAGUACCACAAUUUUUACAGAAAAUUCUUUCAGCAAAUGAAGAUGAAGCGUAUUUACCUACAUUCUCAUUUUCAGAGACACUGGGUUUUUGAGUACAAGAAAAUGCCAUAAAUGGACUGGAACACCAUAUUCUGCAAGUUUCACAAUGACAACAACUAAGUUUAGGUUCUUCAAUUAUUGCCUUUAGGUGAAUAGCUUUGCACAAACAGUUGCCUUCGUAUUCAGGCAUGAUUUGUUGCUAAAAUGUUCGUUGUAGUGGAAGGAUUGAACGAUCAUCAUAUUUGACUAUCCCGCAUCUUUUAUAUCAAAUUGUGUAGCUGAAGUGACAGGAAUAAUGUUCUUAUGAUUUCAUGAUUCGGAUACCACAUAACCGUGGCCAUCCUAGAUAGCAGUAAAUGAUUAAAACAUAGAACAUGUGGUUUGCAUUGAUGGCAGGUUUCUUUAAUAAUGUGAUUGUUUUUACAUUUUUUGGUUUAUUAGAAGGUGGAAUUGUAUAAGCAUUAAAUUGCAAUCUAGACAGUGAAUCCUAGGUAUAUGAUAUGCCUCACGAAUUUGAUGGAUGCUUUACAAAACCGAGUUACAAGCAAAUUCCGUAGAUUACAAUAUAUUAAACAACCGCUAAUAUCGUGACAAUAUCUUCAACUGAUGCGUGGGACAAAGCUAGCGUGGGUUUGACUCAUAAAAUAAAGCAUAUAUAAAGACUAUAAAUCAUGGGAACUUUGAUUCAGGCGUCUUCAAAAUAGUACCCGGCAUGAUUUUUACAUUUAGGAUUGAAUGGAUGAUUACAGUAUUUGCAAUGAACAGUAGAACGGUAUUCCUCUACUGUCAGUGAAUUCUUGCAAGCUCCGCAAAUUACACAAGGAAUGUGAAACUUUGCUUUCCUCCAAGGUAAAAACGGAUGUGUAUUGAGUUCAUCAUGACAUUGAAAACACGCAUAAAACUUUUCACACUGUCCACAUCUUAAUGCCACGACGUCGGCUUUAGAAUGAUAAUGAAAACAACGAGUUUCAUUAUCGACGAGUUUCCCAUAUACGUUAGUUGAAGAACGAGCCGUAGGAGUUUGCAUAAUUGCGAAUAAGUUGAUUUUAGCAACAGUUUUACAUGUACAAGGGAAGUAUUCGGAAUGUUUAUACCACAAUUUGGAAAAGUGUUUGCUAUGAUUAGUUAUAUUUCAAAACAACCAUUCGCAUAAACGAAUUGAUAUAAUUCGAAAAGUGCUCUAAACGACAAAUUUUGCUAUACUUAAGUGGAAAUGAAAGUGUUUUUUUAUGACCACUACUACUAGUUCAAGUGAGUCAGUAACAAAAACUUUUUGGUUAUUACGAUCCCAAAUUCUGCAAAGUAAGAGAUAGAUGGCUAAGAAGUUAGAAAGCUAUGCAAGAUAUCAAAAACGAAAUCAUCAGUACUAAAUCUUAAGUGAAAUAUGAACUAUUAAUGUUGGAAAAAAAUCGACACCAGCAGGAUUUGAACCUGCGCGCGGAGACCGC
rnacentral:lncRNA from 1 species